rnacentral:rRNA from 1 species
GUGGGGAAUAUUGGACAAUGGGCGAAAGCCUGAUCCAGCCAUGCCGCGUGUGUGAAGAAGGUCUUCGGAUUGUAAAGCACUUUAAGUUGGGAGGAAGGGCAGUAAGUUAAUACCUUGCUGUUUUGACGUUACCGACAGAAUAAGCACCGGCUAACUUCGUGCCAGCAGCCGCGGUAAUACGAAGGGUGCAAGCGGUAAUCGGAAUUACUGGGCGUAAAGCGCGCGUAGGUGGUUUUGUAAGUUGGAGGUGAAAUCCCCGGGCUCAACCUGGGAACUGCCUCCAAAACUGCAUGACUAGAGUACGGUAGAGGGUAGUGGAAUUUCCUGUGUAGCGGUGAAAUGCGUAGAUAUAGGAAGGAACACCAGUGGCGAAGGCGACUACCUGGACUGAUACUGACACUGAGGUGCGAAAGCGUGGGGAGCAAACAGGAUUAGAAACCCCUGUAGUCC